rnacentral:tRNA from 1 species
GAGGGGGGCACGAUUGCACCGAGGUCUGCUAAAUUUCGACACCCGAGUUAAACCCCCGGGCCCCCUCG